UUUCCGUAGGUGAACCUGCGGAAGGAUCAUUACAGAGUUCUUUACCUCACAGGUCGAUCUCCCACCCUUGAAUAUUUAUACCCUAGUUGCUUUGGCAGGCCGUGGAAACACCAUGGGCCCCGGCUUAUGCGUGCCUGCCAGAGGAAACAAACUCUGUUUUUAGUGAUGUCUGAGUACUAUAUAAUAGUUAAAACUUUCAACAACGGAUCUCUUGGUUCUG
rnacentral:misc_RNA from 1 species